AGUGUAACUUCUGGGCUGUAUGGUAAUUUAGGUUUAAUUAUUGCAGAAAUUGCCAGUCUUUUCCAUAGUGGCUGCACCAUUUUAUAUUCCCACCAGUAGU
rnacentral:pre_miRNA from 1 species